rnacentral:lncRNA from 1 species
UUUUCGUUAUUUUUACUUUGUUGACGUAUUAUUUUUUUUUAUUUUGUUUAUUUUCUUGCUUUUUGCAACCGCGUGAACGCGUUUUCUGCGCUACAGACUGUGUUUUUCCGACUCCUUUGUUUGAUAUCGUGUCGUAUCGCCGUAUUUAUGGAGUUAUUAGGAACGGCAAGCCUACGUUGUUGCGUCCUUUACCUGAAUAUCGUGACCGAAUCGAGUGUCGUCGAUUUGAAUCGUGUCUUGCGAACCAUCGUCGAACAAAAGGUCAUGGCUGGUCGCGGUUCAUCAGCGUUUGUUUUGAAACUGAUGGGUACCACAAGGCAUGAAAGAGGUGACUUGCAGCAGCAAGACACUGCAAGCCUUCGCAGCAACUGGCUAGCCAGUGCUGCUCUGUUCUGAACUGCACUGCGUGUCAUGCGGAGGGUUUGUGCAAGCUCUCUGGGCAGCGACGCUAGCCACGAUUGGCUUCAUGGAUGCACAGAAAUACUCAAGGCGCUUGACGUCUGUGGCUCAUCUGUAUUGUUUUUCCCGGUACCACGGCAUGGAAGGAGCUGGCCUCCCUCCCUUCCAUCAGCUGCGAUAUACUACAAGCACUGGGCUACAGCUGCAGCUAGCCCAUGGGUACCGUUCUGCGUCCUGUACUGCAUCUAGUUUGAAAGGCCAUGUGAAAGGCAGGUACCGGGGACCAUGACAUCAAUGAGCUGGCUUUCACCUUGUCCAAGGCAGCAGCGGAACACUACGGGCGGGACCCUGGAUCACUGCACCAUGGAUGCCGUCCUGUACCCUUCACGGCACUGCGUGUGGCUUAAAGGGGUCAUGAAACGCUUUUCCAACUUUUUCCUGUUUCGCUUUCCUCCUCAACUCAUAAAUCGCGCAUUCCACCAAACAGAAGACGAAAAGGGGGAGUCCCCUCUUGCUCGCACUCUCGUUUGUGUAAUCCCGGACACAUCCAUUCUCCCCCUAGAAGAUUAGCCCGUCGCUCAAAAUUCAGACAAAAGUUGCUUUCCCCACCCCGUUCAUUCCGAAGCUGACAGUGCUGUUGAAGCUACGUGCUCGUUAGGCCAGCCACACUUGCCACGUGAGCGUGGCAAAUGUGGCUGCAGAGAAUGAAGUCAGGUGAUGAAAGGGAGGCGGCUGAUUGGUCCGGCAAGCGCGUAGCUUCCACCACAAUGUCAGCUUAGGGGUGAAGGGAAUAAGUGAGGUCCGGUUGCGUGUGACGUCAGUUUGGACCCGAUAACGCGCUUUUGGGACCGCGGAUGUAUCACAGUGAAAAGGCAGAGAGAUUGCGAAGGGGAGGAGGUACGAAAUAGUCCGUUCUGUUUUCAAAUUUUCGCACUGAAACUCAGGCUUUUGACUUUCUACCUUUUUUCUUUUGGUCCACUGAACGAUGUGCUAUUAGUAAAAUCCCAAUCUAAAAUGAUUUAUCCCAACCCAAAAAUCGUUUCAUGGGCCCUUUAAGUGGCCAAGCAGAGGGUCAUUGCAUGACUUUUAUGAGGCGCCGCUAGCCAUUGUUUCAAACCGCCCUGAAUCGUGGAUCAAGCCUUGCAAGAUGGAAGUUCUCUUUAGGCCCAGCGCCUCUUGAUGGAUAAAGUCUUGUACCCAAUUCCCUCGUGUCUUUCAUAUAAGUAAAUUGUUGGUAUUUCUUUUAUGACAGUGCACGUUACCUGCCGACCACGUUUUACAGUUGAAACGCAGUGUACCGAAACUUCUUUUAUAUAGACACCUUUCUUUGCAAACGCCACCAGGCGGUGCUUCAGUUUGUUUGACGUCUCAGCAAACUUCUGAUUCAUAACAAGAAUGAACAAAACCCACUUUGACACUGCUGCCUAAAAUGUCGAUAAAACGUGUAACCACCAAUUCUCCAGGUGAGCGCCAAAAGAAUGAAGAAACGGGAGAUAUGUUAAAAUGGUUCAAAUAUUUUGUACACCAACUUGCCUCCUCCAAGACAUUAAAUUGUACAGCCAAAUUAGAGCGCAGCUCUUGAGGAGGA